rnacentral:lncRNA from 1 species
AUAAAUGCAUAUGUUUUUUGACAGAGGUAAGCUCGUAUCAUUUUAUUAAUAAUAAAUUGUUUAAUAUAUGUUGGGAUAUCAAUAAAAAUUUGGAUACUAGCCAAAGAUGAGGUUACCUAUGCUUAUUGACAACCAAUUUGGAGUCCAUAUUGAAAUUGACAUUCUCUAGUUGUAGCUUAUGGACCCACUGCAAAGUCGUCAAAAGACCAACAACUUAUCCUAUUUUAACAGUAGUAGAAAACCAUUAUGUUUUUGGCAAGUGCAAAAUUCCCAUCUUCAUCAUGAAUACAAAGGCCAACUCUUGUCCUAUUCAAAUGAGAUGAAAACGCAUCAUCAAUAUUAUAUUUCACUGUCACUGAAUAGCCUCAUUUGAGACUUGUAUCGUCGCUGAUCUGAUGCAUAUAUAUUUGUUGUACUUGCUGCCAUUCAAACAUGUUAUUGUGUGAGAAUAUAGUUUGCGAGUCUUCCGUUUGUCGGUUCAAAAGUAUAUUAUUGUGUUGCUUCCACUCACCCAGAGCAUGGUAGCAAAGCUAGCAACAACAUUUGUAUUUAGUUGGUGCAUCAUUGUGAAAAAUAUAGCAGUUGUGUUGUUUGUGCGAGAUACAGCAAAAAUGAUCAUAAUAUACAACUGAGUUUGUUGUGAACAUUGAAUGCUAUUAGGACACUGAAAAAAUAAGUGAUAAUUGUCCUCCAAAGCAUUGUCAAUAAAGUUGCAUUUGGAUGCACAACCGAUACCACACUCAUUCAGUCCUACCCAUGUAGGAAAACAGUUACGACAAAAACGCCACAUCAGAUUUUUUUACUUUCGGUGGAGCUCUUAUUUUCAAUAUUAAAUCCCAUCGACCUUUGACCUUUAAGUGAG